CCAGAGAAUGUAAUUCCGUAGAAUAAUGAUUUUCUAUUUCUUUAAUCUGUUUGGUUCCACUUGAAGAUAAUUCAUGGUAGCAGAUUCUAUGGUAGCAUAUUUACACAAUAGGAGAUCUCAAAAUCGAAACACAUGAUUCCAGCCUAGGUAUAAAAGAGCGUAGUUCUUAAGUGAACCUUGAGGAUCGGGUUGUGAUCUGCUUGUUGCUGUUCUUUGAAAGUUUUGGAGUUGUGGACCUCUUGGAAGCCGAUUAGAGGUUGUAUCAGGCGACUAAAUGCCUUUUAGCAAAUCGUCUCGAGCCUCUAGCAGAUCAUCUUAGUUGAUGUAUUAGAAAAAUUAUCUGUUGCAAGUGGAGAGUUUCAGACCAAAGAAAGUGUCCCAUUAAUUCAUCCAAAAGGUUCUAAUCAUGCUCGAGGUCGGCCUAAAUUAACAAGUGCUUUUGGUAGAGAGAAGAGAAAGAAGGGGACAGCUGAAAAGAUAUCAAGCUCGUUGAAGGCAAUAGCAUAUGUAUGGACGUCUAGUCACCACUGAGUUAGGUGAUGACCUUGCAGAUAGGCUUUCUGAUGCAAUUGACAUGAUCCCAACUAUUGACUUCAACAAAAAAUGACAUGCUAAAAAAUUCUUUGUGCAACACCGGAACCUAUGCAAUCUAUUCUUGAAAGCAAGUGAUGUGAAUAAGCCAAAGGUGUUGGAGUUGUAUAUGAGAAGGCAGGGACACAGAUGAUGAAUGUUGACAUAGAUGAAUGAUUUUUUUUUUGGACUAUGCACUGAUGGGAAAAAAAUGAAUUUUUUUUUGUUUAAUUACUUUUUAUAGGAGUUUAUGAAUGGUAUGGAUUGAUGAUUCAAGUAGGUUUCAUUUGACUAUGGAAGUUAUGGAUGAUAUGGAUGAAUAAUGAACAUGUUGAUAUGUUAA